GUCUGUCCCCUACCGCUCCAUGGACCCUGGGCUUUCUGCUGGUGGGCUCCAGGCUCUGCCUUUUCCACGGGGAAGGGAUGCUGUGUGAUGUCAGAAUGACGCCAUUGCUUGUUACUAUGGAGACAGGGUUAGUGUGGCCGCAAAUCGAUGGUAUUGGCCUCCGGACUGUAUCCCACAGUGCACCACUGACCGCUCUGGACAGCUAUCUGAACUCGGAUGCACUGGCCAGGUAGACAGGAAAAGCCCCGCGAACUUUUGAAUUUCAUUUCCUGUUUGGCCAGCAUGGAGAGCUCACCAGCACAGGUGACCACACAGAGCUCAUCAGCACAGGUAACAAUGCAGUCUCCUGAGAAUAGAAAAAGAGCUCCAGCAUGGACCACACGGGACGUACUGGGUCUGAUCACUAUAUGGGGAGAGGAUUCCGUGCUAACAGAACUCCGUUCAAAAAGACGAAAUGAAAAAACUUUUGAAAAAAUUUCCAAGACCGUGAAGGAGAGAGGCCACACCAGGGACUCAGUGCAGUGCAGAGUGAAAGUGAAGGAGCUCAGACAAGCCUACCAGAAAACCAAAGAGGCAAACGGAAGGUCUGGGGCAGGGGCGAAAACAUGCCGCUUCUACGCUGAGCUGCAUGCAAUUUUAGGGGGCUGCGCCACCACUACCCCGCCCCCCCGUCCUUGGAUUCCGUGGUGGGGGUUGUAAUCUCAGCCAUGCCUGAGGAUUAUGCGGACGGGGAAGGUGAGGAGGAGGAAAAGGAGAACGAGCUUGAAGAGAGCACACAGCACUCUGUUAGCCCCAACAGCCAGGAGCUUUUUCUGACCCGGACGGAAUUACCGUCCCAGCCUUCCCAAGCCACUAGCCCAGACAGUGAAGCCAUGGAAGCGACCUCUGGUGCCUUACAAACAUUAACUCAUUCAUUCAGGAGCUUCCUCUGAAAAAGUAUCUCCUUCUGCUGAACAAGCAUUAAAACAGAGACACUCUUGUGUGUGCAUCUCUUUACCUAUUGUUAUGUUGACUUAUUUACAUAGUGCCAAGUGUGUGAAAGAUGAGCUUUACAGACAUGUAUGAAGACAAAGUCCUGGGAGGAAGUGAUUUUUCUGUUCUAUGCUGGCUGUUGCUGGAUCCUACAAAGUCUUGGCUUAAAGUUUUCAAAAUCAUUGCUUUAAAGGUGAGAAAAAGCAUGUCAAGCAAAUUAAUGCUGACAUUUAAAAUGUUUAAUUAAGCUAAAUGUUAUAUUCAGGACAAAAUGUUUUUCAUUUCUAUGACAUGGUCCACGUGCAGGAUUUUCAGAAGUGAAAAGGUAAUGGGGACCAAUGAUUUAUUUUUUAGUGUUUAACAAAACACCAAAAGCAACAUACAGUUUUCUUUAAUUUUAUAUAGCAAUGUAUUGCCUAUAUUUGAAGGAUCUAUGUUUAAAUUAUUGCACUUGAUGUCUACAUAUAGCACAUUAUAAAUUAUAUGAAGGGAGGUUGUGAGAAGAAAAAAUAUACAUUAAAAUAGACGUUCUUUUAGGUUGUAUCCCCCAAAAUAGGUUUGUGUAGUAUCAGGAAUCAAAGGAAUCUCAAGACAAAUUUUAAGGGCUCCCCAAAUUCUAUAAAUUAAGGAGGCACUUGGAGAGAAUCUCCUCCUUAGCAGAUGACAGAACUAGGAAGGUUACUCUGAAUCUGUUCUGCAUGUAUAAGGAUGACGUAGUAAAUAUUAGAACAUAAUCUGAAAUGCAAACUGCUAUUAAUCCACUAAACAAAUUUACCAGCUAAUGUCCAAACAAAUGGUUUAAAAAAUAGAGGUAGGAAGAAAGUACCUUAGUUUAGCCACUAGAGGUCUCUUUGUGUCUGUGUUUAUUCUCUCAACUGGUAAAGAUAUGUCUGCGAAGGCCAGUUCUCCAGACAUUUUAGAUUAAAAAAAUACCAAUCCAUGUCUUACUCCUCUCCCCACAAAAAAUCUUGGAAGCAUUAUGUUGGUAUAGGCCUUUUAAUACUAAAGCUUUACAUUAAAACCUUCUGUAGUAGAACAAAUCUUGAUGAAAUAAAGAAGGAAGUGACUAAGCAUUCUUCCUGUCUCACAUAGAGGAAGGUGUUUUUCCUGGAAGAGAUAUUCUGCCGAAUUAAUGUACAAUAGUUAUUGUACAAAGUACAACAACAAUAUGAUACUGAGACUGAUUGAGCAGCCAAACAUAAAUAAUCCUGCACUCCAAAGUGAUCAAGUGAUGUUCGCUACACCAUCCGAAUAGUGGAUUUUAAUCUGCUAUACUAGCUUUGAAGGUUCAGAGAAGUGAAAACAUCCAUCAUGCCUUUCAUUGCGCAGGGUUUUCAGUAUGGAGUUGUGGGUGGAUAUGUGCAUGAAUUCCUUCCUGAUUUCACUACUCCUAUAUAGGGACAAAGUCUGUCCUCAGACAUACAUGUAUCUGAAAGCAGGGGAAACUGAUCUUAAAAAUCUGAGAGACUGAACCAAAGCCCAUUUAAAUCAAUGUGAAUUUUCCAUUUACUUAAUGGGACUUCAGAUCAGGCCCUGAGAGCAGAAAUUUGCUCUGCUCUAUAUGCUAAGAUGAUCAGGUCAUUUAAAAAAUCUAAAUACAGCCUUUGACUGCAGGAGCACUUCUGUCCCAACAAACCCAGCAAUAUGGCUUUGCUGCCUGGUCACCCAGCCAUUGGGCUAUAAUUUUUAGGUCCUUGCAGUUCUUCAGGGGAUUGACUGGAAAGGAAAGCCCCUUUCAAUCCAGUAUAUGGAGCCACCACAAGAACAGAAAAGAAUCAGCAAUGCUAAGUAAGACUCUUACGUUUGGGUUGGUUAUGCCCAUUUAAGGACUGACUAGUCCUCAAAUGUUCUGAGUUUCCAGGCUGUUGUUCAGAGUCCCCAUGGCACUGAAAGAUUCACAGCUCUGGCUGUGUCACUCCUUCCUGUAAGAACAUGUGGGACAGGGACUGUUACUUGCUAUAAAUGUGUACAGUGAGUAGCACAGUGGUGCAUCAAGCUUUAUGCCUCUAGGCAAUACUGUACAAAUAUUAAAUAAUCCUUACAAUCCACUGUACUUCUAUGAAGAAUAAAGAUAUGAUGCUACGCACCUUCAUCAAUGGAGUUCAAGUGUGUUACAUUAAGUCUCACAGUUCCCCUGUGAGUUAGGGCUAUAUCAUCUGUAUUUUAUAGAGAGGCAAAGUGACUUGCCCAAGAACCUAUAGAAAGUCAUUGGCAGAGAGAGUUACAGAAACUGGGAAUCCUAUCUGCUAGUCACCUGUUCUAACCACUAGACAAUACUGCCUCACAACACAAACUACUCAGUAGACAAUCUUGCCUACGAAGAAAAACAUGUACAUUUCUGUAAGUGUGCUUACCUGGUCUGGAUUUCAGUCCCUUGUUCUGUAAGCAUUUUCCUGACCAACAAAUGCUGUUAAUGGCCUUUGCUGGAUUAAUGCAAGCAUAUCAACAACAAUAAAAGAUGAACGGGGAAAGAAAACACUGUAUUAGGAGAUAGAGUAAAACAAGAUUUCCUGUAAGUGUGCUGGUUAGUUGCCUAAAAAGCACUUAAUACUAAAUAAAAAAAAUAAACAAAACGUAAAUUCUCAUCCUUUUUACUGACUAAUUCAGCUGUGAGUCCAUCAACCUAGUGCUGCAGAAUUUACAGAAGGGAAGGGGAGGAAGGAAGUCUUUUCUAGGUCAACUCCAUUUUUGAUGGCUGAUUGUAUUAGGUAGGAGGAGAAUCAUUUGUAAA